GAAGCUUCCCCUGUGUCCAAUGGAUUCAAUGCUAGUGGGCUCUAAGGCUCUAAGGCAAGGCCAAGCCCUUGGAGUUAGCGCCUCUGGGAUAACAUAGUUAAGAAGAGGGAAAAGUUACUGACAGUAGCAAUUGCAGCCAGAGAAAAGUGAGAAUAUAUGAGGGAAACAGCCCUGCAGACCCUAAGGACAGUGAAGAAAAAACCAAACAAAAAAACCAUAAAAGAUCUGUUGCUUUGAAUACAAGAAUCACUGUUUCUCUGCAAGUGUGCUCUACAAGGGAAAGUUGCAAGGGCAGCAUUUGUGAGCUUUAAAUGAUGAGUGCAGAGCUGCUUAUCUUCCCCAAUCAAUGAUUCUUUCAGUGAAUAUGAUCAUGAAGGAAACUGAGUUCCUAUGCAAACUGGGCUUUAUGAAGGAAGCUAGAGGCAGUUCUCAUUAGUCUCACUGACAUCUUUUAUCACUUAUCAGAGGAACAAGCAAACGGAGAGCAAUUCCUUUGAUCAUGGCAAAAGUAGGAAGAGUAUUAAAAACCCUAUGAAGAUUCACUAAGUAGAAAGUAGAAAAGACAGUCUGUGGUGUGUUUCAAAGAGGUAACAUGAUUUAAAGUUGCCAGAUUUACUUGUAUAUAUUAAAGAAUUGUUAAUGAUGUUACAUUUUACAUGCAUCCUUACGUCCUU